rfam:Loxodonta africana unplaced genomic scaffold scaffold_17, whole genome shotgun sequence.
GGCUUGUUGGUGCAGUGGUUUAAGCAUUUGGCUGCUAACCAAAAGGUUGGCAGUUCGAAUCCACCAGCCA